AUGCACGCUGGCGGCGUGCCUAAUACCUGCAAGUCGAGCGAACAGACGAGGAGCUUGCUCCUCUGACGUUAGCGGCGGACGGGUGAGUAACACGUGGAUAACCUACCUAUAAGACUGGGAUAACUUCGGGAAACCGGAGUUAAUACCGGAUAAUAUAUUGAACCGCAUGGUUCAAUAGUGAAAGACGGUUUUGCUGUCACUUAUAGAUGGAUCCGCGCCGCAUUAGCUAGUUGGUAAGGUAACGGCUUACCAAGGCGACGAUGCGUAGCCGACCUGAGAGGGUGAUCGGCCACACUGGAACUGAGACACGGUCCAGACUCCUACGGGAGGCAGCAGUAGGGAAUCUUCCGCAAUGGGCGAAAGCCUGACGGAGCAACGCCGCGUGAGUGAUGAAGGUCUUCGGAUCGUAAAACUCUGUUAUUAGGGAAGAACAAAUGUGUAAGUAACUAUGCACGUCUUGACGGUACCUAAUCAGAAAGCCACGGCUAACUACGUG
rnacentral:rRNA from 1 species